rnacentral:rRNA from 1 species
UCCAGACUCCUACGGGAGGCAGCAGUGGGGAAUAUUGCACAAUGGGGGGAACCCUGAUGCAGCGACGCCGCGUGAGUGAAGAAGUAUUUCGGUAUGUAAAGCUCUAUCAGCAGGGAAGAAAAACCGACCAUAGGGUCGCUAGACGGUACCUGAUUAAGAAGCCCCGGCUAACUACGUGCCAGCAGCCGCGGUAAUACGUAGGGGGCAAGCGUUAUCCGGAUUUACUGGGUGUAAAGGGAGCGUAGACGGCAGCGCAAGUCUGAAGUGAAAUGCCGGGGCUUAACCCCGGAACUGCUUUGGAAACUGAGCAGCUAGAGUGCAGGAGAGGUAAGUGGAAUUCCUAGUGUAGCGGUGAAAUGCGUAGAUAUUAGGAGGAACACCAGUGGCGAAGGCGGCUUACUGGACUGUAACUGACGUUGAGGCUCGAAAGCGUGGGGAGCAAACAGGAUUAGAUACCCUAGUA